rnacentral:rRNA from 1 species
UAGGGAAUCUUCGGCAAUGGACGAAAGUCUGACCGAGCAACGCCGCGUGUGUGAUGAAGGGUUUCGGCUCGUAAAACACUGUUGUAAGAGAAGAAUGACAUUGAGAGUAACUGUUCAAUGUGUGACGGUAUCUUACCAGAAAGGAACGGCUAAAUACGUGCCGG